AGGACGAACGCUGGCGGCGUGCCUAAUACAUGCAAGUGGAACGCAUGAUUGAUACCGUAGCUUGCUACACCAUUAAUCAUGAGUCGCGAACGGGUGAGUAACGCGUAGGUAACCUGCCUACUAGCGGGGGAUAACUAUUGGAAACGAUAGCUAAUACCGCAUAAGAGUUUUUAACACAUGUUAGAAAUUUAAAAGGAGCAAAUGCUUCACUAGUAGAUGGACCUGCGUUGUAUUAGCUAGUUGGUAAGGUAACGGCUUACCAAGGCGACGAUACAUAGCCGACCUGAGAGGGUGAUCGGCCACACUGGGACUGAGACACGGCCCAGACUCCUACGGGAGGCAGCAGUAGGGAAUCUUCGGCAAUGGGGGGAACCCUGACCGAGCAACGCCGCGUGAGUGAAGAAGGUUUUCGGAUCGUAAAGCUCUGUUGUAAGAGAAGAACGUUGAGUAGAGUGGAAAGUUACUCAAGUGACGGUAUCUUACCAGAAAGGGACGGCUAACUACGUGCCAGCAGCAGC
rnacentral:rRNA from 1 species